rnacentral:rRNA from 1 species
ACGGAAGGCAGCAGUGGGGAAUAUUGCACAAUGGGCGCAAGCCUGAUGCAGCGAUGCCGCGUGAGGGAAGAAGGUUUUCGGAUUGUAAACCUCUGUCAUCGGGGACGAUAAUGACUGUACCCGAGAAGGAGCUCCGGCUAACUACGUGCCAGCAGCCGCGGUAAUACGUAGGGAGCGAGCGUUAUCCGGAAUUACUGGGUGUAAAGGGAGUGUAGGCGGGACUGUAAGUCAGAUGUGAAAUAUGCCGGCUCAACUGGCAGACUGCAUUUGAAACUGCGGUUCUUGAGUGAAGUAGAGGUAAGCGGAAUUCCUAGUGUAGCGGUGAAAUGCGUAGAUAUUAGGAGGAACAUCAGUGGCGAAGGCGGCUUACUGGGCUUUAACUGACGCUGAGGCUCGAAAGCGUGGGGAGCAAACAGGAUUAGAUACCCUGGUA